rnacentral:lncRNA from 1 species
AUGGUGGGUAGCCCAGCUUUGGUAUUGCCUUGGUCCUCUGCCUCUGAGAGCGUGCUGGCUUCUGGAGAAGGUGUUGUUCUGCUCUGCGCUGGGCCGUGGGGACACACUGUACUCUUCAGGGAAAUCAUUGUGAAACUGAUUCAGACUUUGCAUUUGGCUUCUCUGAAUAUCUCAAACAAAACUGACAGAAUGCUAACCUACGGCAGCUCGUGUACUCUUAAACACGUCUCUUUGCUCUUCUUAGCUAUCUAGUUCUUGUGUUCCAGCACUUCCAUACUGACUCUUUUGGAUGUUAAGAAUAUUCACAGCAAUAAGAGGGGCGCAAAACUUGUGUGGCAGCUCAGGAACUAGAGUCCUAAAAUGAGCAAUGCACUUCGUAGUGAGCAUGACCAGCUUGCCUAGCCACAGGAGUCUGGUGAUUCUCUGUGAGCUUGUUUGGACUAAUUUUGAAGGUGUCUCUGAUGAAGUGCCAAAAAUUAACACAGACCUUGCUACGAGAGGCCUACUAUCACCUUUUUGUUUCUUGGGUACAAAGCCACCUGAACUCACACCAAGGUGGCAGGUCCCACGGCUAAUUGGAAACCUAAUUCCAGCUGAGUCACCUAAUUGAGGUCAGUCCUGGUGCCUUGUGUAAGGAGAUGAUGCCACCUUCCAGGCUGGUUGGCCAGUCAUGCCCCAGCACAGCACCAGGAAGCCAUAGAGACUUUUCUAACAGUGCAGGUGCUGUUUGUUUUUCUUUACAGAGAGCCCUUCCUUUGUUCCAGCAUUGCAGUUCUGACACAAUUUUAUCCAAGCCUUUCCUUUAUGUGUGCCCUAACAGCAAAAGAUGGAACGCAUCAAACAUUUCUUUUGACAGAAAAUGCCUUUUAAAAUCUUUCUAGAGAGCAUUCACUUAGUUCUGAAUCCCUCUUUCACCAAUGAGAUGCACAGGAGAGAACCUCUCAUUUUAACCCUUUCUGCUCUUCUAUAAAUUGAAUUUAAAAAGUUGGAACUCCUCCUUUGUCUCUUCUUUUUUUUUUUUCCUUGUUGUUGUUCUGAAUAUUGCAAAAUGCUUCAUUUCAGCCCUGAUUUAUGCCUUACCCUAGCAAAAUUGCCAUUAGGAGCCCAGUCGGCCUACAAAAAAGGAGGCAGCAAGGCUCUGUGACAUCAAAGAUGCGUGAGGUGAGGGUGUUGGCCAUGGCUGCAGUCAGAGGGCAUCAGACAAGCGGUGAGAGUGCAGGGACAGACUGACCAGGACUGUGGUCUGUCGUCA